AGAGCGAACGCUGGCGGCAGGCCUAACACAUGCAAGUCGAGCGCCCGUAGCAAUACGGGAGCGGCAGACGGGAUAGUAACACGUGGGAACGCGCCCUUCGGUUCGGAAUAACUCAGGGAAACUUGAGCUAAUACCGGAUACGCCCUUACGGGGAAAGAUUUAUUGCCGAAGGAACGGCCCGCGUCCGAUUAGCUAGUUGGUGUGGUAAUGGCGCACCAAGGCGACGAUCGGUAGCUGGUCUGAGAGGAUGAUCAGCCACAUUGGGACUGAGACACGGCCCAAACUCCUACGGGAGGCAGCAGUGGGGAAUAUUGGACAAUGGGCGCAAGCCUGAUCCAGCCAUGCCGCGUGAGUGAUGAAGGCCUUAGGGUUGUAAAGCUCUUUCGCCCACGACGAUAAUGACGGUAGUGGGAGAAGAAGCCCCGGCUAACUUCGUGCCAGCAGCCGC
rnacentral:rRNA from 1 species